UGCAUAAGAAUAAUCAUAUGGGCCCAUAACGACAUUAGCCGACAUAUGUCAAUUUACAUGACUAAUACUACCUUAAUAACAAGCCAAUUCCUUUGGCUAAAUCAUAAUAUUACAUACUCACAUUAAAACCCUAUACAUGCCAUAGAUUAGAAUCACUUGAGUUUACUUACGCCGAUAGAGUUAACUCGACAUGUGAUAAUAUCUCUGACGGCCUCCAACCCGAGCUAACCUGGAAACUCUAGAAAACAUGGGAAAGAAGGGGGGUAAGCUUUCGCUUAGUAAGUUCAUAUGAAAACAAUAAGCAACUCAUUAACUUGUUUUAUCAAUGUUUACAACAAAUUCUCAAGUUCACUACAAGCUGUCUUCUUGAGCAACGGUCACUAAAUUAUUUAUAUCUGGAGCUACGAAACUCCGAAUUAAGUUCCGUUAAUUUUCCCUGAAACUAGACUUAUUUUAAUUUCUUUCAUAAAAUUUCAAGAAUUUUUGGUUAAUCCAAAUAGUACAGUUUAUUAGUUAAAAUCUCCCCUAUUUCAGGGUAUGACCACUCUGACCCCUGUGCACUACAAACCGAAUUUCUCCUUGUAAAAAAUUCCAACAACCAUGUAGUUUAUUUUUCCUAAAAAUAGACUCAAUAAGGAAUCCAUGAAUGUAAGGUAUGACUCUUAAUAAUGUUUGUACAAUUUUUGGUGAAUUUCUAAAGUUAGAACAGGGGAUCUCGAAUUCAUUCAGACCCUGUUUCACAAGAAUUCAAAUAUCACACAAUAUGGAAUUCUUUUUCUUCCCCUAUUUCUUUCAUGUGAAAAUAGACUCAUUAAGCUUUAAUCCCAUAUUUUAUUCUGCCUCUAACUUAUUUUCCACUAUUUUUAGUGUAUUUUCAAAGUUACACUACUGCAGUAACUCAAAUCUGUCAAGGCUAAAUUACUCAUUCAUGAUCAUUGUUCACAAAAUUAAUACAACAUCGUUUGUAUAAUCAUCACCGAGACAUUCAUAUCACAUUUUCAUUUACCAUCUUACCAUAUUGUUGUUAUGUCGAGUUUUCAACCCGAGGGUUAAGUACAUACCUGUUCAAAGUAUUCAUUUUACAACAUUUACCAAUACGUCCCUUUCAUCUCGAGUAUUCCUCCAUUUGAGUAGAAUUUUACCCGUUGAACACAUCGGAAUAUAAUUCGGAUACAUGGAAAGUUUGCACAUAAGUGCCACAUAUGUAGCCAAGCUACCAUGUAACCCGCCCAUAAGUGAACUCGGACUCAACUCAACGAGCUCGGGCGUUCGCAUCCAUAAGUGAACUCGGACUCAACUCAACGAGCUCGGAUGCCUAGUUACAUCUCACGAACUCGGACUCAACUCAACGAGUUCGAACAUUCGCAUCCAUAAGUGAACUCGGACUCAACUCAACAAGUUCAGAUGCUCAACCAUCCUAGUGACAUGUCACUUGUAUCCUAAUCUAUUCCUAAGGUUCAAACGAGAUUUUCCUCGAACACAUAUCCUUGCCAUCUUCCGUAAAAUACCGAAACCAAUACUCGGUAGCACUUUAUAUUUAACAGAUAAUACACAUAACUUUCAUUUUAUUCGAAAAUAACCACAAAGCAUAUAUUUCAUGAUAAAAAUCAGCAUAUCAUAUAUUUAAUAUCAAUAACUUAAAAAUAACAAUUAUGCUACAUUAUUUACACAUGAACUUACCUCGAUACCACAAAGGUGAAAAGACAUACUCGUUCAUAAAUCGAUUUCUUUCCGUUCUAGGUCCAAAUCUCAAUUUUCAUCAUCUAUAACAUCACAUUUAGCCUACCAAUCAGUCACAAUAUUCAUAUGGGUCUAAAAAUCAUAUUUUUACAAAUUUUCAUUUUGACCCCUAAACUUUUGCAUAUUUGCACUUUUGCCCCAAUGCUUGUAAAUUAAUUUUUAUUCAAUUUCUAUAAGGUUUAAGACAUGCUGAACAUUUUUCUCUUCUAUGGCAACUCCAAAUUUUCACUAAUUCACACACUUAUGACCAAUUUAUAACUUUUACAAUUUAACCCCUUUUUGACAUUUUUACCGAAAUUCAUUGAAUAAAACUCAUAUUUAACACAUCAAACAUUCAUUAUCCACUAUAAAUCAUCAAAACACAACCAUAUCAUGAAUGGGUAAAAUUUUAAACUCUAAUUUCUUUUCAAUCAAUUGGUAGAAAUAGAAAAUUUAAGCUUCGGGGAUCUCAAAAAUACGAAAAUCAUUAAAAACGAGACAAAAACCGUACCUACAUAAGCCAUAGAAGCUUGGCCGAAUGGAGCUCAUCCAUGGCUGCCAUUUUCAGUUCUUUCCCACGGUUGAAGAAGAAAGAAUGGAAAAAAAAUGAUAGCUUUUAUCAUUUUUGUCUUAUUAGGUUAUUUUAAUUAAUUUACAAAAUUACCCUUUUUAUUUCAACCAAAUAUCAAAAAUACCAAACAAAUAUCCAUUCACUAACUUAUUAAAGGAAUAAUUAUCACAUAAGGACUUUCAAUUUAAAACUCAUAACAAUUAGGCACCUCAUAUAUAAAGAACUCAACUUUUGCACUUUUUACAAUUUAGUCCUUUUGACUAAAUUGAGUGCUCAAACGUAAAAAUUUUCGAAUGAAAUUUUUACGAAAUAUUUUCAUAAAUUUAUAGACUAUAAAAAUAUAAUAAAAAUAAAUUUUUUUUUCUCGUCGGAUUUGUGGUCCCGAAACCACUGUUCUGACUAGACCCAAAAUCGGGCUGUUACAUUUCUUCCCCCUUUAGGGAUUUUCGUCCCCGAAAAUCUUACCAGAAAAAAUUGUUCUCUACUUUCACGAGUCACUUAUAUCUUUUUCUCACAACUUACAAAACAACUCCGCACAAGCUCAUACUCAAGAUUUCCUAUAGCUUUUCCAUAGUUGAGGUAUAAACCUCGGAGCUCAAUUUGAAACACUGGAGACUGACAUUCUUGGAACUAUAAACUCAGAAACAUACAACUCAGUCACAUCUGUUGAAUAAUAUAUCUGUACAUACUAAAAUAAUCAUGCAGAUUUCCAUCAUCAAUCUUUCACAAUUCAACUUGCAUCUCUCCUUUUUCCUGGAAAUGAGAGACAUCCCGAUACGAAAUUCAUAACAGUCCUUUCUCAUUUUCUUCCCACUGUCAUCACUGACAAUAAUAAUCUCGAAUACAUUUGAUAUUCGGCUUUACCCUAUAGACAAUUCGACAUCCUUUGAACGAAUAAACAAGAUACUACUGUGAACUCUGUACUCAAUUCUCUGUAUACCCAGAGUUUCUCAGUACUGAAAUCUUACUCUGAAUUAAUAGUAAUAGAAACCAGAAAUCAAAUCCUCCCUGCAAUUCCAAAUUAAAAUUCGAAUCAUGCUGUACUUGUUUAAUUUACCACUUAUAGCCACAUUUCUAUACUCUGAUCAUCAACUGUUUAGAAACUUUACUAACAUGAAUAAAAUGAUUCCAACUUCAUAGAUGUGGUCUUUUUAUUAAUCAGGAUAACUAUACUUAUAACAUCUCUCGAACAAGAGAAAUCCAACUAAUAUGUUUCCAUAACAUACUUUCAAGAAUAAAACCCAUCAUUUCUGACUGUACGACUACUUACCAAAGAACACGUUACAGUAUUCUCGAACCAGAGAAUAAACUUAAAUGCACAUAACUCAGAUUUACUUUUGCAGAAUAACUAUUCUUUACCCCAGAAAUUUUAAAGAAAUCUCGACACUGAAAUCCCCACACUUCUAUGGUCGAUCCAGAAGCUUAAUCAUAACAGAUUCUAAUAUCGCAAGUCAAAGAUUACUCGUAAAGAUAAACCAAGCUUGAUAAUUCUCGAAACAAGAACGAUAGAAGAGCCAAUAUAAGAAAUUCCAAGAUAUAAAGACUAUACCAGAAAUCCGAGAAUAUAAUCCAGAAGAAAAUAAUAAAGAUGAUCCGAAAAAUCCCUCAGAGAAAACCAGAAGGAAACUACUGUCUAUACGCUCUAGAAUUUCUCGUAACAGAGAUAAUAUAAUUCUCGCAUAUAUAAACCAUAAUCAAUAGAACAUCAGAAUAAUCUCACAAAGAUUUUUUUUUUUUACUAUCAACUUCAUUCCAAUAUAUCAGAAUAGAAAUCUGAAGAGAUGAGGAAAAUGUCAAUCAUAACUAACUGGACCAAUAGAGCUUUUCAUCUAAUAUCACAGUCACUAGCAUCCUCGUAUGAUAGAAUGAAUCCAUUGAAAGGGAUAACCAUACGUAUUCCCCGGAAUUGAGGAAAACAUAGAAUACUCAGAAGAGAAAGAUAGCCAUCACUUUUAUUUGAUUGAAUCCGUUAUACUCAGACAUCUGUGUGAGUUUGAUGUUAUUCCUCUAACUAAUUCUGUCAUCGCUAAUCUCAUACUAUUCCAUUAUUGUACUAUUCAGUUUCACUUUUGCAAGCUUAUGCAACAUAUCUCUCGAGAAUCUCAUGUAUAACUCUAUUCUGGUAAGAGGGCGAAGAUUGUAAAGCCUCUAAACUUUUGACUCUCAAGCAAAUAUAUAUUCAACAACAACAUAGCUUUACGCAUAUUGAUUCAAACAUUUCAAAUUUCCAACUUGUUAUAAACACAUUUUCACUUAUCUCAGUAAUACAUGCAACUUUAUUUCAUGCGAAUAUUAGCUAAACAUAAGUGAAUUUAUCAUAACUCAAACUUUCAUUUCUUUUUCUCAAAUUACCCUUAAUGUCUUAUCAAGUUUCCACAUUUAGUCUUAAUCACUUUCCAAUAUUUAUCAAAUUGAAGAACGUCUUACGGUUUUGAGUACAUCGUUUACUUGAUGCCAUAAUUCAACUAUGGUCUUGUACUAGCUCUCAUCCAUCUAUGUCGAUGUUGUGUCCCAGACAGGUCUUACACUGACACAUGUAACCGUGCUGACGCAUGUCCCAGACAUGUCUUACACUAGCACAUCUCGUAGCCGAUGCAUGUCCCAGACAUGUCUGACAUUGGCUAUCAUCUCGAGGCCGAUGCAUAUCCCAUACAUGGUUUUACACUGGCACACAAAUCUCAUGUAUUGCCAUGGUCCAACCAUGGUCUUUUCCGUGAAUUCAUUAGUGAACGAUCGUACUCAUUCCCUGCGUUCCACCCAAUUUGAUCUUUCAUUACAACUUUCAUGCUAUUGUGACAUUUAGGAUUCUGUAACUGAGAUUAUAAAGCAUAACAUUACUGCAUCUUGACUUCAUCAAUCUAGACAUAAAUGUCAACCUCUUGUAUAUAUUGAUUAUUAAUCAUGCAAUAAAAGCAUUCAUACAUACAUUCUGUCAUUUCAAGCAAAUUUCUUUCUUUUCCUAAACACUUGGCCAAAUCAAGUUGGACAUUUAACAUCGUAUGAAUACUAACAUGCAUAAAAGCGUUUUUUCACAACUUAACUGUGUUUUACUCCACUAUUUCACAUUCUUUAUCUCAAGAGUAUCACAUAAUGAAAACUAGUUCAUAUAAAAAAAAUCAUGGAUUUCUUUUCAUACCUUUCCAAAUUUUCAGCAUAUCAUAAGCAUGAUUCAAUAAUCUCAACUUUACUCUUAUCUCUAUCAAGAUUUGCUCGGUUGGAACUCAUUCUUGUCUUAAUCAACAGUUUUGUUAGGGCCGAGAGAUAUCACACUAUCACGAGUAAUACUAUGGCAUGUAUAACUAGACUCUCUUACGCUAGGUUAGUCUGAGAACCGACUAAACCAUGCUCUGAUACCACUAAAUGUAACACCCCUCGCCCGCAUCCGACGCCGGGAUGGGGUUCGAGGUGCUACUUGACUUUUUCUAACACUUCCAUACUAAACAGGGCCAUGAAAUCUCAAAUAAUUAAAAACUUUUAUUUUCACAUAUAAUUUGUCCCAUAUACGGGCUUACGAGGCCCAAAACAUACAUCCGGAGUGGUUCGGGACCCAACCGAGAACUCAUGAAAAACUUAGGAAAUCUCUUGUAUCAAGGCUCCACACGCCAGUUAGGUAUAGAACACACGCCCGGGUGCUAGGAACACGCCCGUGUCCCGAACCCAUGUCCAAAACCUGGACAAAUACAAGGCUAUUUUCCAAGCCAUUUUGUCACACUUACAACACAUGCACGCAUACUUAUACAAUAGCAUACAACAUGGAAAAAUUAGGCACUUAAACCUUCCUAACAUAACAUGACCAUGGUAAUUUCACAUGCAACCAUUACAAUAAGUUUUUCUUUCAUCUUUACCAUAUUAAUGCUAUAGCUAUCAACAUGUCAUCAAUGAAUCUCAAUUCAAUCUCUAGGCAUAUAUGUUGUAAGCCACAUCAUAAGAGAUAAUAACAUACAUGCAUAAGAAUAAUCAUAUGGGCCCAUAACGACAUUAGCCGACAUAUGUCAAUUUACAUGACUAAUACUACCUUAAUAACAAGCCAAUUCCUUUGGCUAAAUCAUAAUAUUACAUACUCACAUUAAAACCCUAUACAUGCCAUAGAUUAGAAUCACUUGAGUUUACUUACGCCGAUAGCGUUAACUCGACAUGUGAUAAUAUCUCUGACGGCCUCCAACCCGAGCUAACCUGGAAACU
rnacentral:lncRNA from 1 species